GACGAACGCUGGCGGCGUGCUUAACACAUGCAAGUCUACGAGAAUAAGGUAGCAAUAUCUUUAGUAAAGUGGCGCACGGGUGAGUAACACGUAAGUAACCUACCUUUAGAUUUGGAAUAACCCCGAGAAAUCGGGGCUAAUACCGAACGAUGCAGCGGCACCACAUGGUGAUGUUGUUAAAGUCUAUAUGACGUCUAAAGAUGGGCUUGCGUCUGAUUAGCUAGUUGGUGAGGUAACGGCCCACCAAGGCUACGAUCAGUAGCUGGUCUGAGAGGAUGAGCAGCCACACUGGAACUGAGACACGGUCCAGACUCCUACGGGAGGCAGCAGUGAGGAAUAUUGGGCAAUGCCCGAAAGGGUGACCCAGCAACGCCGCGUGGAGGAUGAAUGCCGUAAGGUUGUAAACUCCUGUUAGAGGGGAAGAAAAAUCUCGAUCAAAUCGAGAACUGACUGUACCCUCAGAGAAAGCCCCGGCUAACUACGUGCCAGCCGCCGCGGUAACAC
rnacentral:rRNA from 1 species